UUUGCCUACGGGGCGCAGCAGUCGGGAAUAUUGCGCAAUGGAGGAAACUCUGACGCAGUGACGCCGCGUAUAGGAAGAAGGUUUUCGGAUUGUAAACUCCUUUUGUUAGAGAAGAUAAUGACGGUAUCUAACGAAUAAGCACCGGCUAACUCCGUGCCAGCAGCCGCGGUAAUACGGAGGGUGCAAGCGUUACUCGGAAUCACUGGGCGUAAAGAGCGCGUAGGCGGGAUAGCAAGUCAGAUGUGAAAUCCUAUGGCUUAACCAUAGAACUGCAUUUGAAACUGUUAUUCUAGAGUAUGGUAGAG
rnacentral:rRNA from 1 species